AAGACUAUACUUUCAGGGAUCAUUUCUAUAGUUUGUUACUAACUAUAUAGCAUAUUUUAGAGUGCAUAUUGCAUAAAAU
rnacentral:snoRNA from 1 species